CCCUUAGAUGUUCUGGGCCGCACGCGCGCUACACUGAUGAAUGCAACGAGCUCUACCCUUGACCGAAAGGCCCGGGUAAACUUGUGAAACUUCAUCGUGAUGGGGAUAGAUUAUUGCAAUUAUUAAUCUUCAACGAGGAAUUCCUAGUAAGCGCGAGUCAUCAGCUCGCGUUGAUUACGUCCCUGCCCUUUGUACACACCGCCCGUCGCUCCUACCGAUUGAAUGGUCCGGUGAAAUCUCCGGACUGGCGUGAGUCGGAGCAAUCUGACAAACACCGGAAAGUUGAUUAAACCUUACCAUUUAGAGGAAGGUGAAGUCGUAACA
rnacentral:rRNA from 1 species